rnacentral:rRNA from 1 species
UACAGAGGGUGCGAGCGUUAAUCGGAAUUACUGGGCGUAAAGCGCGCGUAGGCGGCUUUGCAAGUCGGAUGUGAAAUCCCCAGGCUUAACCUGGGAACUGCAUUCGAGACUGCAUUGCUAGAGUAUGGGAGAGGGAAGUGGAAUUUCCGGUGUAGCGGUGAAAUGCGUAGAUAUCUGGAGGAACACCGGUGGCGAAGGCGACAUCCUGGACCGGUAUUGACGCUGAGGCGCGAAAGCCAGGGGAGCAAACGGG